UACGUAGGCAGCAAGCGUUGUUCGGAGUACUGGGCGUAAAGGGUGCGUAGGCGGUUGUUUAAGUUUGGUGUGAAAUCUCCCGGCUCAACUGGGAGGGUGCGCCGAAUACUGAAUGACUAGAGUGCGGGAGAGGAGAGUGGAAUUCCUGGUGUAGCGGUGAAAUGCGCAGAUAUCAGGAGGAACACCGGUGGCGAAGGCGGGUCUCGUGGGCCGUAACUGACGCUGAGGAGCGAAAGCGUGGGGAGCGAACAGG
rnacentral:rRNA from 1 species